rnacentral:rRNA from 1 species
AUGCAGUCCUAUGAUGAUGGUAGGCCAGUGCAAAAUAGUGGUGUAGCUCUAGUUGCACAGACUACACGUUAUGAAAAAGCGAACACUGCUAAUAUGAUAAUAGGAAACCAAACAUUUUAUGGCAUCAUAAAGGAAAUUCUUGAGUUGAACUAUGAAAAUAAAGGGAAAAUAGUUCUCUUCAAAUGUGAUUGGGUUGGCAACCGCAGGAAAGACAAGUGGGUAAAAGUUGAUCGCCUUGGGGUAACUUCUAUGAAUUUCAAGCAUUUAGUCAAUACUGGUGAAAAUAUAUCGGAUGAGCCUUUCGUUUUAGCGUUGCAACUAACUCAAUUUUUCUAUGUUGAAGACCCAAUUGAUGAUGAAUGGGUUACUGUUAGCCACUACAAUCCACGGGGCUCAUAUGCCAUGCAUGAAGCUGAAGAUGAGGAUGUAGAGACCGUUAUGCCAAUGGUUGAUCGACAUAUCUAUUCAUGUUACCAUGAUGAUCUUCAAAGUAUCGAUUGUGCUAGAACAGACGUAGAUGCAAGAAUUGUGUAUGCUAAAAAAUCUAGAAAGUAA